GAGGAAUAUUGGUCAAUGGGCGAGAGCCUGAACCAGCCAAGUAGCGUGCAGGAUGACGGCCCUAUGGGUUGUAAACUGCUUUUAUGUGGGGAUAAAGCGAGCUACGUGUAGUUUAUUGCAGGUACCACAUGAAUAAGGACCGGCUAAUUCCGUGCCAGCAGCCGCGGUAAUACGGAAGGUCCAGGCGUUAUCCGGAUUUAUUGGGUUUAAAGGGAGCGUAGGCCGUGGAUUAAGCGUGUUGUGAAAUGUAGACGCUCAACGUCUGAAUUGCAGCGCGAACUGGUUCACUUGAGUAUGCACAACGUAGGCGGAAUUCGUCGUGUAGCGGUGAAAUGCUUAGAUAUGACGAAGAACUCCGAUUGCGAAGGCAGCUUACGGGAGCACAACUGACGCUGAAGCUCGAAGGUGCGGGUAUCAAACAGGAUUAGAUACCCUGGUAGUCCGCACAGUAAACGAUGGAUGCCCGUUGUUAGUUCACUUUAGAAUUAGCGACCAAGCGAAAGCAUUAAGCAUCCCACCUGGGGAGUACGCCGGCAACGGUG
rnacentral:rRNA from 1 species